rnacentral:rRNA from 1 species
CGGACGGGUGAGUAACACGUGGAUAACCUACCUAUAAGACUGGGAUAACUUCGGGAAACCGGAGCUAAUACCGGAUAAUAUUUUGAACCGCAUGGUUCAAAAGUAAAAGACGGUCUUGCUGUCACUUAUAGAUGGAUCCGCGCUGCAUUAGCUAGUUGGUAAGGUAACGGCUUACCAAGGCAACGAUGCAUAGCCGACCUGAGAGGGUGAUCGGCCACACUGGGACUGAGACACGGUCCAG